GAUGAACGCUGGCGGCGCGCUUAACACAUGCAAGUCGAACGGAAAGGCCCAAGCUUGCUUGGGUACUCGAGUGGCGAACGGGUGAGUAACACGUGGGUGAUCUGCCCUGCACUUCGGGAUAAGCCUGGGAAACUGGGUCUAAUACCGGAUAGGACGAUGGUUUGGAUGCCAUUGUGGAAAGUUUUUUCGGUGUGGGAUGAGCUCGCGGCCUAUCAGCUUGUUGGUGGGGUAAUGGCCUACCAAGGCGUCGACGGGUAGCCGGCCUGAGAGGGUGUACGGCCACAUUGGGACUGAGAUACGGCCCAGACUCCUACGGGAGGCAGCAGUGGGGAAUAUUGCACAAUGGGCGCAAGCCUGAUGCAGCGACGCCGCGUGGGGGAUGACGGCCUUCGGGUUGUAAACUCCUGUCGCUAGGGACGAAGCGUUUUUGUGACGGUACCUGGAGAAGAAGCACCGGCUAACUACGUG
rnacentral:rRNA from 1 species